rnacentral:rRNA from 1 species
GCUAUCUCUUACCCAUGUCUUUUGAGUACUUACGUUUCCUCGGUGGGUUCGCCCGCCGAUUGGACAAUUUAAACCCUUUGCAGUUGCAAUCAGCGUCUGAAAAAAAUUAAUAAUUACAACUUUCAACAACGGAUCUCUUGGUUCUGGCAUCGAUGAAGAACGCAGCGAAAUGCGAUAAGUAGUGUGAAUUGCAGAAUUCAGUGAAUCAUCGAAUCUUUGAACGCACAUUGCGCCCCUUGGUAUUCCAUGGGGCAUGCCUGUUCGAGCGUCAUUUGUACCUUCAAGCUCUGCUUGGUGUUGGGUGUUUGUCUCGCCUUUGCGUGUAGACUCGCCUCAAAACAAUUGGCAGCCGGCGUAUUGAUUUCGGAGCGCAGUACAUCUCGCGCUUUGCACUCAUAACGACGACGUCCAAAAGUACAUUUUUACACUCUUGACCUCGGAUCAGGUAGGGAUACCCGCUGAACUUAAGCAUAU